CUGAUUCCCGCCCACAGUUCAACACACCAAAUUAACUCCUCUUCUCUAACCCUAAUUUACUCACUCCUCUCAAACCCAAUAUUUCGUUUGCUCUCACCGUUCCCUUCCUAUCAAUUGAUAAUCGCAAAAUCUAGCUCUGGUGGACAUCGAUCUUCACAGUUUUUUUGGGAACUGAACCAACAUUUGUAGUGGUUGCGACUGGAACAAGGAGGUUUACCGUCUUCACAGUGUAAUCGUUUUCUCUUUCGCUCGAUAUCAUUUGGGCGUUUUACGAUUACAAUCGUGAAACUUGCUUAUGGCGUUCGUGGUAAUUCAUCUUUUAAAGACUAUUAUAACCGUCAUAGUAGUGGUCUUGGUGAUCAGGGUGGUGGAGUUUCUGGACGUUCUGAAUACAGAGGUUUGAUAUCAGGUACCACAGGGUCGUGAAAACCACAAAAUAUGAUGACAGGAGGAAAUUGAAAUUAUGGUUAUAGACUUAGUUAAGCGUUGGAUUAAGGAGGCGUUUGAGGGCUGGGCAUUAACUCCAUAAAGGCGUCUCAAGGUUAGCUCAUACUCUAUCAAGCAUGAAUUGAAGACAUCAGUUUGGGUUAAAUGUACGAAGACAUCGGUUCGGGAAGUUAUUGUGUAUCAAUUUUAUCUUUAGAGAUGUAUUUAUGUUAUUUUGAAACUUUUUUAAGUUUGUGUUACUUUGACACCUUUAUAAUUUGUAUUUUUGGGUUAUUUUA